rnacentral:rRNA from 1 species
AUUGAACGCUGGCAGCAGGCCUAACACAUGCAAGUCGAGCGGAUGAAGGGAGCUUGCUCCUGGAUUCAGCGGCGGACGGGUGAGUAAUGCCUAGGAAUCUGCCUGGUAGUGGGGGAUAACGUCCGGAAACGGGCGCUAAUACCGCAUACGUCCUGAGGGAGAAAGUGGGGGUUCUUCGGACCUCACGCUAUCAGAUGAGCCUAGGUCGGAUUAGCUAGUUGGUGGGGUAAAGGCCUACCAAGGCGACGAUCCGUAACUGGUCUGAGAGGAUGAUCAGUCACACUGGAACUGAGACACGGUCCAGACUCCUACGGGAGGCAGCAGUGGGGAAUAUUGGACAAUGGGCGAAAGCCUGAUCCAGCCAUGCCGCGUGUGUGAAGAAGGUCUUCGGAUUGUAAAGCCCUUUAAGUUGGGAGGAAGGGCAGUAAGUUAAUACCUUGCUGUUUUGACGUUACCAACAGAAUAAGCACCGGCUAGCUUCGUG